CCCCGCCCCGCCCCGCCCCGCGCCGCCUCUCUAGUUUGUUCGCCCGGCGCAGGUCGCCCUCCUCUUUGUCAGCUGGAAUCGCGCGGGCGGACGCGCCACUACUUUGUAGCGGGUUUCGGGGGGGCCACGCGUGCGGCGACAGGAACCCAACCCCAGCCGACUUUGAGCUCAGGAGUUCGUCUCUUACGUCUGCGGAAGUGCAGCUGCCUCAGUUCUUAGCACAGGUUGACAACUACAGGUACAAGCCAUUGAAGCUGGAAUGUCCUGUUGCUGGUAUUUCAGUUGACUUAAGCCAACUAUCCCUUCAGUUACAAUAGGAAAGUGCCUCUAAUAAGGCCAAAUAUGCGUACUAACUUGUAGCAACCACGUGUCCGUGCAGUGCCACAGGAGUUAGAGCAGUGGGACAACGCUGGUGGCAACAGGGCAAUGUAGCAGGUGCUUCAUGUUCACCUUUUCAGCCUUUUUCAUUUAAUUGUCACAACUCAGAGGUGGAUUCUGUUAGGGACAAGCUGCCCCAGGACCACCCCGCCCCCGCCAACUCAAUGCAGCUGACCCUUAACCUGAAUACUCUGCAGCUGCAUUCCUGAACCCUUAUCUAGGUGCCACAGCAAGGUCCCCAGACUUGCUACACCGAAGCCCUCCGGGUGGCACGGGGGAGGUCAUGAGAAACGUGGAUAAACCUAAGUUACACCCCCUUGUAAAUUCCUGUUUUCACAAGAUAAUAUAUUGUAAGCCGGCCACGAGAUGAAAUGUGGUAGUUAAUCAACUAACAACCCCCCGAAUCUCUCUCCCCCAUAUAAACCCCUCAUUUUGUAAGCUCAGGGCUGCCACCUCUGACUGGUGGAGAAGCCCGGCAGGUUAAUAAACUUACUUGCCUGACCUUGGGUCUCUUGUCUUUUCUCUCUGCUAACCUUACAGAUUCUAUUCUCCCAUUUCAUAGGUAAAGAAAUGGAUUAGGGGUAACUCAAGUUUCAUCACAUUGUUUCAGCAAAACCACCAUUUGACUGGACCAUGAUGUACUUGAGGCUAUUCGUGGGCUCAUGAAUAUUCAAGUAAUUCAAGCUUUCCUUUAAUGAAUGCUGUUAGAGCUGAAGCAUAGGAUAUGAAGGUCAAACCUCAGUCACUUGAAAAUAUUGUAUAUAUUAUUGUUCAUACCCUUUGAAACUUCUCAAACUAUAGAAUCUCAUUCUCAUGAUGAAAGUUAGGAUCAAACUGAACCCUAUUUGCCCUUUAUUAUAAAUCCUAGAGAUGAACAGUUUAUAUAUAAAAAUCCAUUUAAAAGUGAAAUUUAGAUUCUAUAAAGAACAAAGUAUUGUGAGAUUCUGAACGUAAUCAGGUCCUCACUUUUUGGUGGGUGGGAAGAAUGAAAGAGAACAGUAUAUUUUUAUUUAAUACUUAAACUGCCCACAAUUCUUCAGUUUUUUCUUUCUUAAUUGAAUCCCUGUUUCCAACAUCUGAGCUCCAUCUCCCACUCUCAAAAGAAGUUUCAUUAUUACAAGUUAAAUAUUUCUGCCCAAGUAUGGCCAAUCCCAGACUACUUUUGAGAUGUGUCCAUACAGAAUAACAAUUGCUAGCUCCCUGUUGAAGGUUUAACUGCUUAGCCUGCAGGUAACCUGAUGAGCUCACGUUGAAGAAAUUAAGGUAGAAAUUCUCCUACAGUUAGUUCCUUACCGUGAGAUAACAGUUUGUUCCUCCUAAUAAACUUCUAGUUCCAUCCUCUUUUUUUUUUUUUGGUCAUAUCCAGCUCUACAAGUUUCACGCUGUUUAAAUCACAUACCUACAAAAACCUGUUUAAAAUGUUUGGAUGCUCAGCUUGUUUCAGCCUGAAAUUUCUCCAAGACCAAUGAAACAAAACAGUAUUGUGCCCUGAAUACACACCCAAGCUGCAGGCUCCUGCUUAGCUCUGUUUUGCUUUGGCCUCCAUUAGAUCUUCAGCCACAAGAGCAGGAGAUAACAGUCUUCCUAGAAGCUUUCAUCAGCUGCAAGUUUUCUUACAGAAUGAAACUUUUCUGCUAUUUUCUCACAGUUAAUUUGCUAUUUGAGAAAACCGAAUUUCUGGCUCUCAGCAUUUAACUGGAUUCUGUGGGUGACUGGAUGACUGCUUUGCACAUCACCACGGGUGUCAUCCCUACCUUCUUUAAACCUUUUGUGCCAGUCAAAAAUUCUUGCUCUUGAUAUGUCAUCACCAGAAACUACUUUUUUUUUUUUUUCUCUUUUGUGACAGGGUCUUCCUCUGUCACCCAGGCUGGAUGGAGUCUAGUGGAACAAUCAUAGUUCACUGCACCUUGAUACCCUGUGCUCAAGUGAUCCUCCCAUCUCAGCCUCCUGAGUAGGUGGGACCACAGGUGUGCACCUGUGGCUAAUGGCUAAUUUAGUUAUUGUUUUUUAUAGAGAUGGGGGGGGUCUCCCUAUGUUGUCCAGGCCUGUCUUGAACUCACGGGCUCAAGUGAUCCUCUUGCCUCAGCCUCCCAAAGUUCUGGGAUUACAGGUGUGAGCCACUGGACCCAGCCAGAAACUACUUUUAACAGUUCUAAUUGCCACUUGUCUUGGCUGUAUAUUCAGAAAGAGCCAGUUUGGAAUUAGGGUUUUUUGAUUGCUAUUGAUAAGAAGGUUCAAAUGCAAUAGUCUAUUUCAAGUGUCUCACUGACAUAUUCAACUUUACACAAAGUUUAAUAUGAAUUCUUUGCUCUAAUAGUCACCAGUUUUAGGGUCAACAAAAAAAUAAUUCUAUUCACAUCUAAGAAACUUAGCUGGUAACCUUAAAAGCUCUGUUGUAGCCAGCAGAAACAUAACCUAUUCCAGCAAUUUCACAAACUACACAAAGAAAAAUUGGUAAAUAUUUCAACAGAUGAGUACAAAUAAUCUUUGGAGAAGGUGAUAAAGAUUUCAGUGCUAUAUCAUCUUAGCCUUCUGUUUUCCCACCUACAAAAGGGUCGAAAAUAAAUCAGUAUUUUCUUGUCCAAUUAAUAGGAAAAUGAUAUAUGAAAUACUUUAAUUAUAUGUCAUCAGCACUGUCCCACUCUGAAAGAACCUAAGAUUUUAAAAAUACAUCCUAAUAACAUGUAUAUUGCCACUUAUCUUGGCUGUAUAUUCAAAAUGAGCUAGUUUAGAAUUAUGGUUUGUUUUUUUUUUUCAAUUGCUGUUGAUUGGUAGGGAGGCUCAAAUGCAAGGUACCAAAAUAGUUAUUUCCAAA